UCAGAUGAAGACCUCCUAACUUUAUUUGAUAGAAAUCCUAAACUUUUUCAUAAUAAUCUCCUGAAAGUCACUGUAAAGUGGCUUUUUU
rnacentral:sRNA from 1 species